UUGGCAUCUUCCAUUUGGGCAUUGAAGGUUGUAGUCAAUAUAAUUUACGUAUGUAUAUAUACAUCCACCCUUGAAAUGGAAUUAUUUGAAUUCUAGUUGUUUGAACUUUGAUUUAGAUUACUCGGAUGAAAAUAUGAAUUGGGUUUUUAAAAAAAAAUAUUUCUACUGGAGUGUCUACAGUUCAAUACCAACUCAAUCUUGUUUUCUUGGAGUGCAUAGAUUGGGAGAGAUUUUGCCUAAUUAGUAUCUGCUGUCAUGAUUAUUUGAGUUUGUGUAUCUUCUUGAAUUUCUCAUAAUAUAGCUUUUAAUUUUGAAGAAACCCAAUUUGUGGUGUGAGGUUUGGUGAAACAGACAACAAUUUGAGAUUUCUUAUUGGAUUUUCAAAGAUAGAAAAGAAGGGGAACUUACAAGACUCAACGAGAAGAGUAGGUGAGUGGUAAGAGAAGGAUUAAUGGAGAU
rnacentral:lncRNA from 1 species